AGAGUUUGAUCCUGGCUCAGGACGAACGCUGGCGGCGUGCCUAAUACAUGCAAGUCGAACGAAGCUUUCUUUCACCGAAUGCUUGCAUUCACCGAAAGAGGCUUAGUGGCGAACGGGUGAGUAACACGUAGGCAACCUGCCCAAAAGAGGGGGAUAACACUUGGAAACAGGUGCUAAUACCGCAUAACCAUGAACACCGCAUGAUGUUCAUGUAAAAGACGGCUUUUGCUGUCGCUUUUGGAUGGGCCUGCGGCGUAUUAACUUGUUGGUGGGGUAACGGCCUACCAAGGUGAUGAUACGUAGCCGAACUGAGAGGUUGAUCGGCCACAUUGGGACUGAGACACGGCCCAAACUCCUACGGGAGGCAGCAGUAGGGAAUCUUCCACAAUGGACGAAAGUCUGAUGGAGCAACGCCGCGUGAAUGAAGAAGGCCUUCGGGUCGUAAAAUUCUGUUGUCAGAGAAGAACGUGCGUGAGAGUAACUGUUCACGUAUUGACGGUAUCUGACCAGAAAGCCACGGCUAACUACGUGCCAGCAGCCGCGGUAAUACGUAGGUGGCGAGCGUUGUCCGGAUUUAUUGGGCGUAAAGGGAACGCAGGCGGUCUUUUAAGUCUGAUGUGAAAGCCUUCGGCUUAACCGAAGUAGUGCAUUGGAAACUGGAAGACUUGAGUGCAGAAGAGGAGAGUGGAACUCCAUGUGUAGCGGUGAAAUGCGUAGAUAUAUGGAAGAACACCAGUGGCGAAAGCGGCUCUCUGGUCUGUAACUGACGCUGAGGUUCGAAAGCGUGGGUAGCAAACAGGAUUAGAUACCCUGGUAGUCCACGCCGUAAACGAUGAGUGCUAAGUGUUGGAGGGUUUCCGCCCUUCAGUGCUGCAGCUAACGCAUUAAGCACUCCGCCUGGGGAGUACGGUCGCAAGACUGAAACUCAAAGGAAUUGACGG
rnacentral:rRNA from 1 species